rnacentral:rRNA from 2 species
AAAUUGAAGAGUUUGAUCAUGGCUCAGAUUGAACGCUGGCGGCAGGCCUAACACAUGCAAGUCGAACGGUAACAGGAAGCAGCUUGCUGCUUUGCUGACGAGUGGCGGACGGGUGAGUAAUGUCUGGGAAACUGCCUGAUGGAGGGGGAUAACUACUGGAAACGGUGGCUAAUACCGCAUAACGUCGCAAGACCAAAGAGGGGGACCUUCGGGCCUCUUGCCAUCAGAUGUGCCCAGAUGGGAUUAGCUAGUUGGUGAGGUAACGGCUCACCAAGGCGACGAUCCCUAGCUGGUCUGAGAGGAUGACCAGCCACACUGGAACUGAGACACGGUCCAGACUCCUACGGGAGGCAGCAGUGGGGAAUAUUGCACAAUGGGCGCAAGCCUGAUGCAGCCAUGCCGCGUGUAUGAAGAAGGCCUUCGGGUUGUAAAGUACUUUCAGCGGGGAGGAAGGUGUUGUGGUUAAUAACCUCAGCAAUUGACGUUACCCGCAGAAGAAGCACCGGCUAACUCCGUGCCAGCAGCCGCGGUAAUACGGAGGGUGCAAGCGUUAAUCGGAAUUACUGGGCGUAAAGCGCACGCAGGCGGUCUGUCAAGUCGGAUGUGAAAUCCCCGGGCUCAACCUGGGAACUGCAUUCGAAACUGGCAGGCUUGAGUCUUGUAGAGGGGGGUAGAAUUCCAGGUGUAGCGGUGAAAUGCGUAGAGAUCUGGAGGAAUACCGGUGGCGAAGGCGGCCCCCUGGACAAAGACUGACGCUCAGGUGCGAAAGCGUGGGGAGCAAACAGGAUUAGAUACCCUGGUAGUCCACGCCGUAAACGAUGUCUACUUGGAGGUUGUGCCCUUGAGGCGUGGCUUCCGGAGCUAACGCGUUAAGUAGACCGCCUGGGGAGUACGGCCGCAAGGUUAAAACUCAAAUGAAUUGACGGGGGCCCGCACAAGCGGUGGAGCAUGUGGUUUAAUUCGAUGCAACGCGAAGAACCUUACCUGGUCUUGACAUCCACAGAAGAAUCCAGAGAUGGAUUUGUGCCUUCGGGAACUGUGAGACAGGUGCUGCAUGGCUGUCGUCAGCUCGUGUUGUGAAAUGUUGGGUUAAGUCCCGCAACGAGCGCAACCCUUAUCCUUUGUUGCCAGCGAUUAGGUCGGGAACUCAAAGGAGACUGCCAGUGAUAAACUGGAGGAAGGUGGGGAUGACGUCAAGUCAUCAUGGCCCUUACGACCAGGGCUACACACGUGCUACAAUGGCGCAUACAAAGAGAAGCGACCUCGCGAGAGCAAGCGGACCUCAUAAAGUGCGUCGUAGUCCGGAUUGGAGUCUGCAACUCGACUCCAUGAAGUCGGAAUCGCUAGUAAUCGUGGAUCAGAAUGCCACGGUGAAUACGUUCCCGGGCCUUGUACACACCGCCCGUCACACCAUGGGAGUGGGUUGCAAAAGAAGUAGGUAGCUUAACCUUCGGGAGGGCGCUUACCACUUUGUGAUUCAUGACUGGGGUGAAGUCGUAACAAGGUAACCGUAGGGGAACCUGCGGUUGGAUCACCUCCUUA